rnacentral:miRNA from 1 species
UGCAGCUGUGGUAAACUCGGGGU